UAAUACGUAGGGGGCAAGCGUUAUCCGGAAUUACUGGGUGUAAAGGGUGCGUAGGUGGCAUGGUAAGUCAGAUGUGAAAACUUGGGGCUCAACUUCAAGAUUGCAUCUGAAACUGCUAAGCUAGAGUGCAGGAGAGGAAAGCGGAAUUCCGAGUGUAGCGGUGAAAUGCGUAGAGAUUCGGAGGAACACCAGUAGCGAAGGCGGCUUUCUGGACUGUAACUGACACUGAGGCACGAAAGCGUGGGGAGCGAACAGG
rnacentral:rRNA from 1 species